rnacentral:rRNA from 1 species
ACCGAGUGUAGGGUUCCUAGCGAGCCCAACCUCCCACCCGUGUCUACUGUACCUUAGUUGCUUCGGCGGGCCCGCCAUUCAUGGCCGCCGGGGGCUCUCAGCCCCGGGCCCGCGCCCGCCGGAGACACCACGAACUCUGUCUGAUCUAGUGAAGUCUGAGUUGAUUGUAUCGCAAUCAGUUAAAACUUUCAACAAUGGAUCUCUUGGUUCCGGCAUCGAUGAAGAACGCAGCGAAAUGCGAUAACUAGUGUGAAUUGCAGAAUUCCGUGAAUCAUCGAGUCUUUGAACGCACAUUGCGCCCCCUGGUAUUCCGGGGGGCAUGCCUGUCCGAGCGUCAUUGCUGCCCAUCAAGCACGGCUUGUGUGUUGGGUCGUCGUCCCCUCUCCGGGGGGGACGGGCCCCAAAGGCAGCGGCGGCACCGCGUCCGAUCCUCGAGCGUAUGGGGCUUUGUCACCCGCUCUGUAGGCCCGGCCGGCGCUUGCCGAACGCAAAUCAAUCUUUUUCCAGGUUGACUCGGAUCAGUGG